GUCUCCGUAGCUCAGUGGUAGUAGCGAGAGAUUGCAGUUGUACAUGCCAACCAUCUCUAGGUCAGGCGUUCGAACCGCCUCGGGGACU